rnacentral:rRNA from 1 species
AACGAACGCUGGCGGCAUGCCUAACACAUGCAAGUCGAACGAGACCUUCGGGUCUAGUGGCGCACGGGUGCGUAACGCGUGGGAACCUGCCCUUAGGUUCGGAAUAACUCCCCGAAAGGGGUGCUAAUACCGGAUAAUGUCUUCGGACCAAAGAUUUAUCGCCUUUGGAUGGGCCCGCGUUGGAUUAGCUGGUUGGUAGGGUAAAAGCCUACCAAGGCGACGAUCCAUAGCUGGUCUGAGAGGAUGAUCAGCCACACUGGGACUGGGACACGGCCCGAACCCUGCCGGAGGGCAGCAGGGGGGAUAAUGGAACAAGGGGGGAAGGCAGAACCCAGCAGGGCCGGGUAGGUAUUGAGGCCGUAGGGUUGUAAAGCUCUUUUACCCGGGAUGAUAAUGACAGUACCGGGAGAAUAAGCUCCGGCUAACUCCGUG